rnacentral:tRNA from 1 species
GGGCCCUUAGCUCAGUUGGUUAGAGCACUCCGCUCAUAACGGAAUGGUCGUAGGUUCAAGUCCUACAGGGCCCA